rnacentral:rRNA from 1 species
GAUGAACGCUGGCGGCGUGCCUAAUACAUGCAAGUCGAACGCUGGAGAUCUAGCUUGCUAGAUCGAAGGAGUGGCGAACGGGUGAGUAAUACAUAAGCAACCUACCCACGAAGACUGGGAUAAUCUCUGGAAGCGGGGACUAAUACCGGAUAGGUAAUCGGAAGGCAUCUUCUGGUUAUUAAAGGUUAAAAACACUGGUGGAUGGGCUUAUGGCGCAUUAGUUAGUUGGUGAGGUAACGGCCCACCAAGACGAUGAUGCGUAGCCGGCCUGAGAGGGUGAACGGCCACAUUGGGACUGGGACACGGCCCAGACUCCUACGGGAGGCAGCAGUAGGGAAUUUUCGGCAAUGGGGGCAACCCUGACCGAGCAACGCCGCGUGAGUGAAGACGGCCUUCGGGUUGUAAAGCUCUGUUGUAAGGGAAGAACGGUAGAUAGAGAAUAUCUAAGUGACGGUACCUUACCAGAAAGCCACGGCUAACUACGU